rnacentral:lncRNA from 1 species
CUGACAGAGCAAGACACUGUCUCAAAACAGUAAUAAUAAUAAUAAUAAUGGUUUCUCAUAUAUUUGUCAUGUGAAAAAAAAAGCUUCAUACUAUUUUAGGGGGCAGUUUUGAAACAUAGUGUUCACAACAUUGUAUGGCAUCAAUUUUAUAAAUAUCUGAAGUUUUUUUCCAGGCCCAACUUCUGAGGAAGGUGCACUUCCGCUGAGUAACUGCUUUGCUUUUAUCAUAUGUAUCCUAAGUCUUGAAAAUAACCAUGCUUCCUUUUUUCUGUUUGACUGCUGGGAAGCUCUAAAACAAUUUGGAGCCUAUCUUAUGACAUGUAUUUUGUGUAUUAACCUUAGUAUGUGGCUUGUAAUAGCACAUUGGUUCAGGGCAUGAAAUCCAGAGCUCCAUAAUUUACUAGCCAUGUGAACUUUGGGGAGUCACUUAACUCUCUGUGACUGAGAUUUCUCAACUGUUAAAUGGGAUAAUACCUAUGUAAUGGGAUUGUUUUGAGAACUAAGUAAAGAAAUGUAAAGCACUGUGCCUAGUAAACACUAUUACUAAUCUACUUUUUUUUUCCUGUGAAGAAACUGAUACUGACCACACAGAUCAUCUCUUUCCAAUAAGUAAGGUAGCUUUCUAAUAUCCAACACUCACUCAUAUUUUUGAAAAGCCAGGGGAAAUAACUUUAUUUAUAUCCACUGCAUUUGGAUAUAAGUUUCAAAAUUUUUUUCAGAGCUUUCUAUUAGCCAAAGGGGUUGGGAGGGGGCGUGGCAGGGAGAAACGCAGAUUCAUUGUACACACAAAUAAAAAAGAACUUGCUCAGGGAAAGUGCAGAAAACGAAGAGUUGAUUUUAUUUCCUUCCUUCUCUUUCCUCCUCCUUCCCUCUGUCUCCUUUCCCCACAUGGCUAUAUCUUUCUUACUUCCUUUCUUUCCUGCCUAGCAUACAUGGCAGACACAGAUGAAAGCAACAAAUCUACUUCAUGAGCUACAAAGAAUGCAAAAAUGACCAGAGAAAAAUAACCUGCUUUAAUUAUUAUCAUUUUAUUACUUCCCAUUUAUGAUAGAGCUCCUUGAAUCAACUAAUUUUACUAAAUUACAAAUAUAAAAUAAACAUGUUUUAUCAUAACCAUCACAACUGAAGACAUAAUGCAUUUGUAACAGUUAAUGACUUAUCCAUGAAUUUUUCUCCUUUGGAAGCCUGAAGUGGCAAAGAAAGAUAUACUAAAUCUAGUUUCUUCUUUUUUUUUUUUUAAGUAUGGAUUCCAGCAUUGAAAGUAAUCUAGUGAAAAAUGACCUCCCUAAUUUUGCAUCAAUAGCCAAAUCUAAAUGGAAUUUGAGACAACAAAUUUAAAAAUGUCUGUUAUGCUCAAUUAUGCUCAACGUGCUGUUGAACACAUUGCUGGAGAUUACUGUGUCAUUUGUGGGCACAUGUUUCUACAGGACUUAAAUCAUUUUUGUAGAGGUGAAUAAAAUCCAGAAACUUGGAUAUUUUUAAAAAGUAUUUGUCAGCCAGGCGCGGUGGCUCAUGCCUGUAAUCUCAGCACUUUGGGAGGCCCAGGUGGGCGGAUUGCUUAAGUCCAGUAGUUCAAGACCAGCCUGGGCAACAUGGUGAAAUGCCAUCUCUGCAAUAAAAUACAAAAAUUUGCUGGGUGUGGUGGCACAAGGCUGUAGUUCCAGCUCCUCGGGAGGCUGGGGCGGGAAGAUCUCUGAGCCCAACAGGCGGAGGUUGCAGUGAGCUGAGAUCAUGCCACUGCAUUCCAGUUUGGGCAACAGAGUGAGACUCUGCCUCAAAUUAAAAAAAAAAAAAGUAUUUGUCAAACAUCAUUGAACAAAAGUUACAACAAAAGAGUUAUUAAUCAGCAAACUCCUUUAAAAUUUACACUUCCAAUGCAUUCUUCAUAUUAUAGUUACCUAUACCUUCUUCAUUUUAUAGUUAAGACAGUUUACAACAAACUUAUCUAGUGAUUGUAGACAAGAGGCUUGAGAAUAUACAUUAAGAACAAAAGGAAUGAAAACAGAGAAGGGUUUCCAAGUGAUGCAAAAAAUGAACUGUGCUAGACAAAUAUAAAUGUCCAGAUCCCACUUCAAGAAAGGAUUUGCUGCCCAGCUGCAAAGAUGGAGUUAGCUGCCAGCAACUUCAGUGUCUGCUUCAGCUGCAGAAAGCUACCUUGCUCAGGGCAGCCCACAUCAGGCCACUGAGUAAGGAGUGGGUUGAAAAGCAUGGCCACUUCUACAAGAUAUGGGAUAACUCUGACAAACAAUACGAACCCCAGAGAGACAUCUGUGGGCCAGCAUCACAGCUCUACUUCUUGCUCUCCCCAAUCCUACUUCUUCACUUCUCCUUUUAAAGGUGAUGAUCCCUGAAAAUAAUCUUAUAUUCCAAACUCAGUGUCUGUUUAUGGAAAACCUAACCUGUGACAGUGGUCCAUUUUAUAUUACUAAGUAGGAAAAGGAAGCUCUAAAAUAGUAUGUGUCAUAUAAAGUGGUCCCAGUUUUAAAAAAAUGAACAUUGACAUACACAUAGGAAAAAGUAUUAAACAAUUUUACACUAAAUUUUAACUGUAGUUAACACUGGAAGAGUAGGAUCAUGGGGAAGUUUCUCCUACUUUAUACCUUUGGAAAAGACAGAGGCAUAGUUAGAUGUAGACAACCUGAGUUUCAAUUUUCAGGUAUAGAUAUUAACUCCAUGAAUAUGUAUUCACUUGGGAUAGGUUAAAUUAUGCUGUGGUAACACACUUUCCCUAAAACAACAAACGCUUAUUUCUCAUUGGUGUUUUGGUCUAUGUUCUACAUUUCUUCAUUCUGAUAUCCUGGCUGAUAGAGAAUGUCCAUCUGCCAGUCUCAUGGCAGAAGGAACAGGUAACACAGUGAGCAUGUGCUGCCUCAUAAAACUUCUGCUCAGAAAUGCCACACAGAAUUUCCACUCAUGUAUCGGUUCCUUAAAUCAAGUUACAUGAUGUUGCCUGAAUUCAAGUAAACAGGAAUGAAUAAUCCUCCUGUAGGGAAGAGCACAGAAUACAGUCGAAAAGUAACACAAUCAACCACAGAAUUUAAACAAAUUACUCAUCACACCUAUUUCUUAAUCUGUUAAGUGCAGAUAACAGUACGAUCUCAGCUGGUGAAAAGGAAUGGAGAAUACAGCCAUCCUUUGGUAUCUGUAAGAGAUUGGUUCCAGGACCUCCCAAGAAUACCAAAAUUUGCAGAUACCCAAAUCCUUGGAUGCUCAAAUCUCUGAUAUAAAAUGGCAUAGUAUGUGCAUAUAACCUAUGCACAUCCUCCAGUAUAUUUUAAAUAAUCUCUAGAUUACUUAUAAUACCUAAUACAGUAUAAAUGCUAUGUAAAUAGUUAUACUGUAUUGUUUAAGGAAUGACAAGAAAAGAAGUAUGUACAUGUUCAGUACAGAUGCCAUUUUCCCCCCAGAUAUUUUAGAGCCACAGUUGGUUGAAUCCACAAAUCUGGAACCCAGGGAAACAGAAGGCUGACUAUACUUACAAGCAUUUAUCCCACUGGAUGAUAUGUAAUAAGCACCAAGUGUUUAUUACUAUACAUAUUUUUACUUUAAAAUUUUUAUGAGUAUGUGUUACUUUUAUAAUUUAUUCUGCAAGUAUUUACCAAGCAUCUCUGUAUCAAGCACCUUUCAAGGCUGUGCAAACAAAAGAGAUGAAAUCUCUGCCAUCCACUGAAGGCAGGAUAGAUAGAGGCAGGCAGACAAUCUGAACAAAAUGAGCUUUCCAGGAAGGUGCAAAACUGGAGGCAGAGAUACCUGGCAACACUGAGCACUGAAAUCUCCUUUCUUUUGCCUGAUUGCAUUUAUAUGAAAGGUCCAGAACAGGCAAAUCUGUAGAGACAGAAAGUAGAUUAGUGGCUGCCUAGGGCUGGGUGGGCGGAUGGGAACAAAGGGGUUGGGAGCAGAUGGGGAGUGAAUGACUGCUCAUGAGUCCAGAGUUGCUUUUUGAAGUAAUAAAAAUAUGCUAAAAUUGAUCAUGGUGAUUGUUACACAACUCUGUGAAUAUACUAAAAACCACUGAAUUAAAAGUAAAGGCAGUAAUUAAAAUUCUAGGGGUUUUUUUUUUUUUUUUUUUUGAGGCAGAGUCUUGCUCUGUCUCCCAGGCUGGAGUGCAGUGGCGCAAUCUUGGCUCACUGCAAGCUCCGCCCCCCCAGGGUUCACGCCAUUCCCCUGCCUCAGCCUCCCG